AAUGAACGCUGGCGGCAGGCCUAACACAUGCAAGUCGAACGGUAACAGGAGGAGCCUUGCUUCUUGGCUGUCGCGUGGCGGGGGGGAGUGUAAUGUCUGUAACACUGCCUGAAGGAUGGGGAAAACUACUGGAAACGGUAGCAAAUACCGCAUAACGUCUCAACACCAAAAUUGAGGACCUUCAGGCCUCUUUCCAUCCGCUGUGACCGGAUGGGAUUAGCUAGUAGGUAGGGUAACGGCUCACCUAGGCGACGAUCCCUAGCUGGUCUGAGAGGUUGACCGGCCACACUGGAACUGAGACACGGUCCAGACUCCUACGGGAGGCAGCAGUAGGGAAUCUUGCGCAAUGGGCGAAAGCCUGACGGAGCAAUGCCGCGUGUAUGAUGAAGGUCUUCGGAUCGUAAAGCUCUGUUAUUAGGGAAGAACAGAGGUGUAAGAAAAUGUGCACAUCUUGACGGUACCUAAUGAGAAAGCAACGGCUAACUACGUG
rnacentral:rRNA from 1 species